UACAGAGGGUGCUAGCGUUGUUCGGAAUUAUUGGGCGUAAAGCGCGUGUAGGCGGCCAAGUAAGUCGGAUGUGAAAUCCCUCGGCUCAACCGUGGAAGUGCAUCCGAAACUGCAUAGCUGGAGUCCCGGAGAGGAAGGUGGAAUGCUUGGUGUAGAGGUGAAAUUCGUAGAUAUCAAGCAGAACACCUGCGGCGAAGGCGGCCUUCUGGACGGUGACUGACGCUGAGACGCGAAAGCGUGGGGAGCAAACAGG
rnacentral:rRNA from 1 species